CUGAUACAGAGAAGAUUAGCAGGGGCACAAGGAUGACACGCAAAUUCGUGAAGUGUUCCAUAUUUCU
rnacentral:snRNA from 1 species